rnacentral:rRNA from 1 species
AGAGUUUGAUCCUGGCUCAGGAUGAACGCUGGCGGCGUGCCUAACACAUGCAAGUCGAACGAAGCACAUAGGAAAGAGACUUCGGUCAAUGGAAUAUGUGACUUAGUGGCGGACGGGUGAGUAAUGUAUGAGCAACCUGCCUUUCAGAGGGGGACAACAGUUGGAAACGACUGCUAAUACCGCAUAACGUACAGACAUCGCAUGAUGACUGUACCAAAGAUUUAUCGCUGAAAGAUGGGCUCAUAUCUGAUUAGCUGGUUGGUGAGGUAACGGCUCACCAAGGCUGCGAUCAGUAGCCGGACUGAGAGGUUGAACGGCCACAUUGGGACUGAGAUACGGCCCAGACUCCUACGGGAGGCAGCAGUGGAGAAUCUUGCACAAUGGGGGAAACCCUGAUGCAGCAACGCCGCGUGAAGGAUGAGGGCCCUUGGGUCGUAAACUUCUGUUCUAAGGGAAGAUAGUGACGGUACCUUAGGAGCAAGUCCCGGCUAACUACGUGCCAGCAGCCGCGGUAAUACGUAGGGGGCGAGCGUUAUCCGGAAUUAUUGGGCGUAAAGAGUACGUAGGUGGUUUCCUAAGCAUGGGGUUUAAGGCAACGGCUUAACCAUUGUUCGCCCCAUGAACUGGGUUACUUGAGUGCUGGAGGGGAAAGUGGAAUUCCCAGUGUAGCGGUGAAAUGCGUAGAGAUUGGGAGGAACACCAGUGGCGAAGGCGACUUACUGGGCUGCAACUGACGCUGAGGCGCGAAAGCGUGGGGAGCAAACAGGAUUAGAUACCCUGGUAGUCCACGCUGUAAACGAUGAAUGCUAGGUGUAGGGGGUAUCGACCCCUCCUGUGCCGCAGUCAACACAAUAAGCAUUCCGCCUGGGGAGUACGGCGGCAAGGUUGAAAAUUAAAGAAAAUGGACGGGGGCCCGCACAAAGCAGCGGAGCAUGUGGUUUAUUCGACGCAACGCGAAGAACCUUACCAGGUCUUGACAUCCAGGUAAAGCUGUGGAGACACAGUGUGUGCUUGCACAAUCUGAGACAGGUGGUGCAUGGUUGUCGUCAGCUCGUGUCGUGAGAUGUUGGGUUAAGUCCCGCAACGAGCGCAACCCCUAUAAUCAGUUACUAACAGGUCAAGCUGAGGACUCUGAUCAGACUGCCGGGGACAACUCGGAGGAAGGUGGGGACGACGUCAAAUCAUCAUGCCCCUUAUGACCUGGGCUACACACGUGCUACAAUGGCUGUAACAAAGAGAAGCGAAACCGUAAGGUGGGGCAAAUCUCAAAAAAGCAGUCUCAGUUCGGAUUGUGGGCUGCAACCCGCCCACAUGAAGUUGGAGUUGCUAGUAAUCGCGGAUCAGAAUGCCGCGGUGAAUACGUUCCCGGGCCUUGUACACACCGCCCGUCA